CAGCUGAUCUCCCUCUCGGGGUUCCCCACCUUAUCGACUCCUAUUAACACCAGGAGGACAACAGUUUUGCCAAAAUCCAACCCUAAAACCCACAUCUAAAAACACUAAAAACUUAAACUAACUAAAAACACCUCUGCAACACGAAGUUCUCCAGGGAAAGCACAGAGCACAACCUCCUCCCCUGCAGCUGCAUUAGGAAAAAUCCACCCAUCGCCUGCCCAUGGUGAUCUCAAGCCCUAAAUUUAAACUAGGAAAUCAGCUGUCAUUGGGAAAGUAACCUGGGUAUUUUCAGCCACGGAAGAGGAGGAUUCCUGGCAUAGCCUGGGGCUGCUCCGUGGCAAUCACAGCCCUCAGUUACCUUUUGUGGGAAUAAACCCCGGGGAUGGCCCCGGGCAGGUUCAGCUGGUGUGAGGUGUGAUGGGUGCAGGUGCAGCCCACGCCCAGGCCAGCUUCACAUCCCCUGACACAGCCAAGCCCUGGAAAGUCUUUGCAAAGCCCAAAUGUACCUAAACAGUGGUUAUUGGCCCCAGAAAGAGUUAGUCCCUAAGCACUGCUAUCAAAGAGUUGGCUGAGUCCAUAAAUGCAGGCAGGACCAGAACUCAUUUCCAGCAACUUGAUGCACACCUUAUGCCAUAGGCCACAGACAGCAGGAACGGAGCCGUUUAGAACCUGAUCCAAUGUAGAAAAAGGCUGUGACUGUUAUUUUAUCCCUGGCUGUCUCAAAGCACUUUCUGAAACCAAUGGUGGGACGUCUUGCUUAGACUAAACUUUUAUGUCAGUUCCUGAGCUGCCACUGUCAUGGCACAGCCACAUCUUGGUGAGACCAGAGCAGGGUAACAAGGACAACACUGCUGCGUGUCUUCGUGACAUCUGUCCCUGGCUGUAACUCUCCACUCCUUCCCUGCAGACAAAAAUGUGGCUCUGGUGACAGCUACCUCAGCACGAGGCACCUGAAUCAGCUCAGCAUUUUGCACUUGCUCUAGGUUGUGUUGCAAGAGCCUUCUUCCUACCAGUGUUAGGAAGUACCUGUGGUGCAGCUGCUGAUUCAUUCAGGUGUUUUUCUCAUGUACC